UGACAUGAUCUGUCCAUAUUGAUUCUCAGACUUGCAGUGGUAGAUCCCUCUGUCCUCAGAGCUGAUGGAGGUGAAAUGAUGAAUACCUUCUGGUCCUUGAAACAGUGUUUGGUUCUCCUUGUACCAGGUAUAAUUAGCUGCUGGGUUAGCAUCACUGCUACAGGUCAGAUUCACUGAACUGCCCUCCACUAUCUCACCAGAGGGACUCACUGACACAGAGGGAACCCUUGGACCAU